GACGAACGCUGGCGGCGUGCUUAACACAUGCAAGUCGAACGAUGAAGCCUAGCUUGCUAGGUGGAUUAGUGGCGAACGGGUGAGUAAUACGUGAGUAACCUACCUUUAACUCUGGGAUAAGCCUGGGAAACUGGGUCUAAUACCGGAUACGACCAAUCUCCGCAUGGGGUGUUGGUGGAAAGCGUUAUGUAGUGGUUAUAGAUGGGCUCACGGCCUAUCAGCUUGUUGGUGAGGUAACGGCUCACCAAGGCGACGACGGGUAGCCGGCCUGAGAGGGUGACCGGCCACACUGGGACUGAGACACGGCCCAGACUCCUACGGGAGGCAGCAGUGGGGAAUAUUGCACAAUGGGCGCAGGCCUGAUGCAGCGACGCCGCGUGAGGGAUGACGGCCUUCGGGUUGUAAACCUCUGUUAGCAGGGAAGAAGAGAGAUUGACGGUACCUGCAGAGAAAGCGCCGGCUAACUACGUGCCGGCAGCCGCGGUAAUACGUAGGGCGCGAGCGUUGUCCGGAAUUAUUGGGCGUAAAGAGCUUGUAGGCGGUUUGUCGCGUCUGCUGUGAAAGGCCGGAGCUUAACUCCGUGUAUUGCAGUGGGUACGGGCAGACUAGAGUGCAGUAGGGGAGACUGGAAUUCCUGGUGUAGCGGUGGAAUGCGCAGAUAUCAGGAGGAACACCGAUGGCGAAGGCAGGUCUCUGGGCUGUAACUGACGCUGAGAAGCGAAAGCAUGGGGAGCGAACAGG
rnacentral:rRNA from 1 species